CAAAGGGCAAAUACAUCAUGAGAUGAGUUGGCUUCCAUAACAUUAUAAAACAUUUUGAUCAUGUAAUAAAAGGGAUACCUCAAUACAUAAUGUCAAGCACAAUAUCUAAUCCUCAAUAUCAUUACACAUAACAUAACUAUAACAUACUGAAAUCUCUUACAUUACAUCAUAAUACAACUGUCAUGUCCACAAACUAACUAUUACAUACACUCUUCAUAUCUCUGGCUAACCUCCUGGUCUACCCUGUACCUGCACAUC
rnacentral:lncRNA from 1 species